GUGUUGUAUGAAAGGAGAGAAGGUUAGCACUCCCCUUGACAAGGAUGGGAGAAACCCUCUGGCCUUACAACAUGCAUACAGUUGAGGCAUUGCCACCUACUUUGUGGCAUCUAACCACUGUUUUUG
ensembl:snRNA U6atac minor spliceosomal RNA